rnacentral:rRNA from 1 species
CAGUCGCCACGGUAAUACGAAGGGGGCUAGCGUUGCUCGGAAUGACUGGGCGUAAAGGGCGCGUAGGCGGCGGCCAAAGUCAGACGUGAAAUUCCUGGGCUCAACCUGGGGGCUGCGUUUGAUACUUGGUUGCUUGAGUGGGGAAGAGGGUCGUGGAAUUCCCAGUGUAGAGGUGAAAUUCGUAGAUAUUGGGAAGAACACCGGUGGCGAAGGCGGCGACCUGGUCCUUGACUGACGCUGAGGCGCGAAAGCGUGGGGAGCAAAUAGGAUUAGAGACCCCUGUAGUCCCUGUCUCUUAUAC